AUUGAACGCUGGCGGCAGGCCUAACACAUGCAAGUCGAGCGGAUGAGGAAAGCUUGCUUUUCGAUUCAGCGGCGGACGGGUGAGUAAUGCCUAGGAAUCUGCCUGUUAGUGGGGGAUAACUCGGGGAAACUCGGGCUAAUACCGCAUACGUCCUACGGGAGAAAGUGGGGGAUCUUCGGACCUCACGCUAACAGAUGAGCCUAGGUCGGAUUAGCUAGUAGGUGAGGUAAUGGCUCACCUAGGCGACGAUCCGUAACUGGUCUGAGAGGAUGAUCAGUCAAACUGGAACUGAGACACGGGCCAGACUCCUACGGGAGGCAGCAGUGGGGAAUAUUGGACAAUGGGCGAAAGCCUGAUCCAGCCAUGCCGCGUGUGUGAAGAAGGUCUUCGGAUUGUAAAGCACUUUAAGUUGGGAGGAAGGGUAUUCACCUAAUACGUGGGUACUUUGACGUUACCAACAGAAUAAGCACCGGCUAACUCUGUGCCAGCCGCCGCAGUAAUAC
rnacentral:rRNA from 1 species